AGAGUGGAUUUAUUAGUAAUUAGAUUUUAUUAUUAUUUGAUGGAUUGUGGUAUAGCAUGUGUACAUAUUGCCCGUCGCUCUCUGUUUAGGAGAUAAGUCGUAACAUAGUUGAUUUACUGGAAAGUGAGUCUUUUUGU
rnacentral:rRNA from 1 species